CUCCCUACUCCUCUAUCACUCAAUUUGCUCUACCUCCGAUUUACGGUGUAAAAAAAAAGGGAAAGAUUUAAGUUCAAGUUUUAUUUUUCUAAUUUAUUUUUAAUAAAACUUUAAAAUUACAAUUAUAUCAUUUUAUAAUUUCUCUUUCUAUCUGCAUAGACCAAUUUUUUAUUUUUCGCACAAGUCAAAAACUCUAGCCGCCUCUUCUCUCGCAGGUUGCCACUUCGUGCGUAGAUCUGGAUA
rnacentral:lncRNA from 1 species